CAUCCUAAGACAAGGUAGGGGCUACUUUGCCUCGUGAAGGAUUGUUGGCAAAAAUGGAUUCCUCCAACGUAUUCUGACAUUUCCAAUCACCUAUCAGUCACGACAUCUUCUAGCAUGAUGUGCAUGAUGUUAAUGACAUGUUAUGGCACAUGUAUGAAAAGAUCUAUGAAAUAUCCUAUGGUCUUGUGAAAUCUUCUACACACCCCCAU